CUAUGUAGUUCUUCUUUUAAAGAAUGUGCAACAUUCGAUUAUCAACGUUCAGUUGUUUUUUUUAUUCAGCUUAGACAAUAAAGAUGGAUACUUCAAAAAUUCGUGUGAUUUUUGAAUACGAGUUCCGACGCGGAACUAACGCGGCAGAAACAGCUCGCAAUAUUAAGGGGACGUUUGGGGACUGCUAAUGAACGCACUGUGCGAUUUUGGUUUAAACGCUUUCGUGAUGGAAACUUCGAUUUGAAGAACGAACCACGUGGAAGACCGCCCAAACAGGUGAAUAACAAUGAUUUGAAAGAGAUGGUGGAA